CGCUGUACAGACAAGGACAGUGCAAAGGACCUUAUUUCCGAUACUCAGUCAACCUGAAGAUCACCUCAACAUCAAACAGUUGUGCAAUGAUAAAAACAUGGUGUAAAAUAGGUCGGUACCCAUGGAUAUUAAUGAAUGGACAUUCCAAUCAUCUGGUCUGAUUCCCAACUGGAUACACCGUUAAGCCUAAUUAUGUUUGAUCCAUUUCAAGUAUUUGAGGUCACCCACUAUCCAUGUGCUGUGCUAUACAUCAAGGUCAUUUGUGGAUACAACAUCACCAAAGGAUGGGCAGGGGACCUCAUGGACACACCGGAUCCGUAUGUCACACUCUAUAUCAAGACGGCGCCCAAUUGUUUACAGAAAACAACCAUCAAAGAUAAUGACAUCGACCCUGUUUGGAACGAGACAUUCACCUUUUAUAUUGAUCCCAGAGAACGCAGCAAUACACUAGUGAUAUCACUGAUGGAUUCUAACUACCUCAUGGAUGAACCUUUGGGGUCACAGGUCAUCGAUCUCAAAGAACUACCGUAUCAAGGAAAAGAAAAAUAUUCACUUGAGUUUUUUGGGACAUCAGUGGUUGAAUUUGAGCUAUGGGCAGACAUGAACUGUGAACCACAGUUACGGUUUAGUCUCACACUGAGUGAGGAGGAGCGAGCAUUUGUGGAAAAGAGAAAGAUGCGAAUAUUUGACACCAUGAAGAAAUAUCUUGGAGAGGAUGCACCAGUUUCCAUACAAGAGGUGCCAGUUAUAGGUGUGAUAGGGUCCGGUGGAGGAUUCCGAGCGAUGACUGCGUACAGUGGGGUGUUCAGUGCCCUAGUCGACACAAACAUACUGGAGAUGGUCACGUAUGCUGGGGGAUUGUCUGGAUCAGCAUGGUACCUAUCUCAGCUAUACACCCACCCUGAAUGGCCACAGAGGUCCCCCCUUGCCCUCCAGGAGGAGUUGAAGAGUAAUAUUGAUUCAAGCCCUUUUUACCUGUUAGGCCCCAAUAGUAUGUAUUCGUAUGUCUCUCGGAUCAUGGAGAAGCGUCGCCAGGGACAGCCUGUCAGCUUCACUGACUUCUUCGGACAUCUUGUCGGGGAGACUCUUCUCAAAAAUCGGCAAAAUGCCAAAUUGUCGGACCAAAAGGAAAAGAUCCAAAAUGCUGACAUCCCUAUGCCUCUGUACACUUGUCUUCACGUCAAAAAGUCUGUCUCUGCUAUGGUCUUCCAUGAAUGGAUGGAGUUUACCCCCUUUGAAAUUGGAUUACCUAAGUAUGGCACAUUCAUGAAGUCAGAAAACUUUGGGAGUAAAUUCUUCAUGGGUCAGUUGGUGAAGAAGUACCCAGAGCAACCUCUACACUUCCUACAGGGUGUUUGGGGGAGUGCCUUCUGUAUCCAAUUCAAGCGCCUCCUCAAGGAUGAUAAACGCACGGACGAGUGUCGCAUUAUACAGGAAGAACGGGAAGAGCUUGAGAGAGAACUUCUUCAAGAGCUUGACACACAAACAGAUGAGGAAAGUGAAUCAAGUGAGACAGAGGCAGAGGAAGAGGAAAGGAAACGCAAACAGAUAGAGCAGAAAGGUCGCCGGAAGAGUUCUGUGGCCAGUGUUAAUAGCAGGAGAGGGUCCACAGCCAGUAUUACUAGUAUGAAGGACACAGAUAAUAACAAGGGCUUUAUCAGGAGCAUGUUUGGCAAGGUGUUGGAUAGCACCGGCAACUACCUACUGGGUUCCAUCGAGGGGCGGGCUGCCAAAGUACACAGCUUUAUGAGGGGUUUGUCCCUGUACAAGGUCUACCCAUUCUCUCCAUUCACUUCCAUAGACGAAGGGACAGAAGGUAUGGACCAGUUUGAUGGGAUAUUUGAGAUGUAUCCCACCAACAUGAAAAAGCUGUAUGUGGUAGACGGUGGACUGACAUUCAACUCACCGUUCCCCCUCCUGCUUCGCCCUCAGCGACAAGUUGAUCUUCUUCUGUCCUUCGACUUUAGUGCCAGGCAAAGUGACAGCACACCACCCUUUAAGGAGAUCAAGCUUGCAGAGAAAUGGGCACGAUUAAACAAUGUGCCAUUCCCCGAAAUUGACCUAAAACGUUUUGACCGUGAAGGAAUGAAGGAGUGCUAUGUGUUCCAGAACCCCAAUGAUCCUCGCUGUCCCAUUGUGCUCCAUUUUGUGUUGGCCAACAUCACCUUUAGGGAUGAGAAAAUGCCAGGUGUUCCUCGAACUACAGAGGAGGAAAAGGAGUUUGCCGACUUUGAGAUCUUUGAUGAUCCUGAGAGACCCUAUUCAACAUUUAACUUUAAAUAUACUCACCAAGCCUUUGAUCGUUUAACAAAGCUGACCGAGUUCAAUACCAGACUUCAUAAAGACCUUAUCAUUGAAAAAAUUAAGGAAUGUGUUAAAAAGCACAGGAACAAUGGUUCAGUGACACGGAGACCAAUCAAACUGAAGGACAUCAAAAAACUCCGCCUCCAAAAGAUUGAGGAGGACAGGUUAAAGGAAUUUGUACAGUCCUUUGACGAUGGAGAUGUGCCAAUAGUGUGAUAGUUGUUGGUACAAAUCUUCAGUUUCCUGCCAUUCGAAAUGGUAGCACCGUCUAGGACCAAUGUAACACACAAAGUUCAAGGUCAAAGAUGAUUCGUGCAUUGUAGUACAUCCUACAUUUGAUAUUGAUAUUGAUCAAGGAUGCUCAACAUUCCAGGCCAUUUAUGCCAUUCCAGGGGCGACUUGUCAUAAAUCAAGUCGUCUCUCCUACAACACGGAAUCAGGGUGCAUACAACUGUACUAGUCAAACAUCAAGUUUCUCUAGGAGGCACUGAAAAGGACAUGGUUAAGACAUGAAGGAAACAUUUAAAUUUACAAUGAUGAUGGUUGUGUGACAUUUGGUGAGUGUGCUGGAGUUAAGUGUGGGCUAGUUACAGACAUGGUAUCACACAGGAUUCUACUACUAGGUCAGCCAAAACGACCAGAUACUGUUAAUUACCUCCAUCAUUUCUGCUCAUACUGAUUCAGGUGGUAUUUUUUUUAAUGGCUAGCUGAUGAGGAUUUCAACCCAUGAAGGGAAUAAUAACAGAGAUAACUGGGUUUUUUAAAUCAAUUGCCAUAUGUUUGAAUUUUGAGAUAAACUUUCCUAAAGAAUUAGUGAGGAAAUGUAAGCAAAACAGAAGUGAUUUACCCGGUAAGGUAGCUGGCCAAGGUAAAUCUAUAGUCAACAAACUAAGGGAGUAUGUGAGAUGUGAACAGUGUUAUGGAAUAUAAUAUUCAAGAUGGAACAGUCUGCAUUCCUACAAAAGUGACAACUGGACUUUCUUUUACAGUGAAACAAUCUAAAACAGUGACAAUUUGAAUGUUGUUGUAAAUAGAACUGUCUACAACCCUGAUAUCAGCACGGUUAUCAUAGGUGCAACAGUCUAUAACUGCAUGUGACAACUGGAAUGUUAUCAUUAGUGGAACCGACUACAACCCUGAUAUCAUCACUGUUAUCAUAGGUGCAACAGUCUAUAACUUCAUGUGACAACUGGAAUGUUAUCAUAAGUGGAACCGACUACAACCCUGAUAUCAGCACUUUAAUCGUAGGUCCAACUACUAACUACAACUGUGUUAUCAGGACUGAUGUCAUGAACAGAAUAGUUUACAUCUGUGAUACCAUGACAAUAUCUAUUACGGUAAACAUUAUUAAUGCAUUAAACCAUUUUGUUACACUUAAGAAUGUAUAAAAUGUCAU
rnacentral:misc_RNA from 1 species